UGUGAAAUGUCCCGGAUUAGGUUGAGUCACCCGCGGUGACGUCACACGCGCUAUGAAAAUGGCUGAGUCGGAAGAGGAGGUGGAUGUCUUGGUCCAGAGAGUUGUGAAAGACAUCAAUAAUGCCUUUAAAAGAAACCCGAACAUUGAUGAAAUUGGCCUCAUUCCGUGCCCCGAAGCCCGGUACAACAGAAGCCCCAUAGUCUUGGUGGAGAAUAAGCUUGGAGUGGAGAGCUGGUGUGUCAAGUUUUUGCUGCCCUAUGUGCAUAAUAAACUCCUGCUGUACAGACAGAGAAAGCAGUGGCUCGAUCGGGAAGCACUGGUAGAUAUAACCUGCACAUUGCUUCUCCUAAACCCAGAUUUCACCACUGCGUGGAAUGUCAGGAAAGAGCUCCUGCAAUGUGGCAUGUUAAACCCAGAGAAAGACCUUUACCUGGGAAAACUUGCACUAUCUAAGCAUCCUAAAAGCCCAGAGACAUGGAUACACAGGCGCUGGGUGUUACAGUGGCUGCAGAAGGAGUGCUCUCCUUCUGGACAAGAACCAAAGGAUCAGGCUGAACCCAGAGGAGACGCUGUGAGUAGGAGACGUUGCGAGCGGCUGCAAAGAGCCUUGCAGGAGGAGAUGAGGGUCUGUGCAGACGCAGCUGGCCGUUACCCCAGUAACUACAAUGCAUGGUCCCAUCGCAUCUGGGUGUUGCAAAACUUGGCUAAAGGCAGUCUAAAGGUUCUACACGAUGAGCUGUCCUCCACCCGACUGUGGGUGUCCAUGCACGUGUCAGAUCACAGCGGCUUUCACUACCGUCAACACCUGCUCAAGGCCCUGGUAAGAGAGCUGAGCCAGGUUGGAGAGACGGAGCUCCACCCAACCCAGCAGCCUAAUGGAGAGAGCACAGCAGACAUGUCUGAAGGCAGUCACCAUAAUGACAUCAUCCCUCAGCUCUUCCACGAGGAGAUGGAGCUCUGCACUGAUCUCAUAAAGUCAUAUCCAGGCCACGAGACGCUGUGGUGCCACAGGCGACAUGUCUUCUACCUGUGGCAUCAGUGGCGGAGGGAGCACCUCCAGGGGGCAGGGUCACAAUCUCCACCUCUCACCCAUAUUGACGUCCUCCUCAGUGAGGAGCCCUGUGAUGAAGCCAGUGCUUCCCAGGCCAUGGAUGUUGACUGUGUUCUGGAUGGGCGCAAACACGGAAGCUACACGCAGGACACCAAGCGACUAAAGCGGGGACCCCUGCUUCCCCACCCCUUACUUCCCUCGGAGCACACGUUUGUCUCCAGAAUCCUCACAGGCUGCCGGAGCCCCGAGCAAAGCCACUUUGCCAUAGCCUACAGGAAGUGGCUAGACUCAGUUAUAGGUCAGUAGCAUGAGAAACACUCCACCCAACAUGAUGUGGGAGAGCUGUGAUAGGUCAACUUAUUUCUGGCUUCAACCGCCCACACACACUUCUCUGAAAACGGCUGGACUUCUUGGCCGGUUUGUCAGAGAUGGUCUGCCGGAGCAAAUUCCCGCUCAUGAUGAAAACCCAUGACCCGUCUCAGCUGCUUUAGUUCAGGGUCAGCAUUUCUUCAGUUCAUGGAGAUGAUUCUUGGGCGUUUGAGAAUAAAUGUUCCUAAAGCUCAUCAUCAUCUUCACUCAUUAGAAUAACAAAGGCCACGUUGUCACAUGGACUAUGAUGGAGCACAAGUUUUGGGUUGUUGUUCAUCCAAGUGGUCUCACAGACGCAUGGGUUUUCAUGAUGAAAGGGAAUUGCAGAAGUAGGAAUAGGCUAUUCUCAGCUUGGGCAAGCGCGGCUGCAGAAAUAACACGCUGCCACGUCCAAGCCCAUCUGGUGCAGAAUGGUGCUUAUUCUCUGCGCCGGGGGAGUGUGGACCCCUGAGGGGGCCUGGGUUUACAAAUGCUGCUUUUUGUUUAACACUAUUUUGAACUUAAAAGUAUAUUUAUGCAAAUAUAAAAAGUGAAUUGAUGUUAGCUUCACUUAUGUGAUUUAUUAAAGCUAAUAAGCUAUUAGACCAUUAUGGUUGACUCACUGUUACUCAGUACUUAAUCAACUUGUAAUAAACUUUGAAGUUUCACACGCUCAAUCGUGCACUGACAACUUAAUUUAUUCACAGUUUAGAGUAGGCUGUGAAAAUCUGAUUAGAUUUUAUUAGAUCUUGCUCUUAAAUCAAGGACACUGCCCAUACUACAUAUGCAAAAACUAGUUAGUUGAAGUAAUUUUAACAUUCUAGCAAAGCUUAUAUGAAUCAUGUCUUUCAGCAUAUCCAUACGACUUGCACAGUUCGAUCUCAAGUUUCACUUCAUAAAAGUCUAUUACUGUUCUUUGUGUUUUUUUUUUUUGCACAGUUGCACAAGAACUAGAUUUAUGAAAGUAGUUGAGUUAUGUAACUUCUAGACUUACUCUCAGACUUUAUAAAGGGCCAUGUCAGAGUGGUUUUCUCUGUUCCUGCAUGACUUGGACUCUGACGUUUUUUUUUUUUGGCUGUAGCA